UACGUAGGGGGCAAGCGUUGUCCGGAUUUAUUGGGCGUAAAGAGCGUGUAGGCGGCCAGACAGGUCAGCUGUGAAAACUCGAGGCUCAACCUCGAGACGUCGGUUGAAACCAUCUGGCUAGAGUCCGGAAGAGGAGUGUGGAAUUCCCGGUGUAGCGGUGAAAUGCGCAGAUAUCGGGAAGAACGCCCGUGGCGAAGGCGGCACUCUGGGGCGGUACUGACGCUGAGACGCGAAAGCGUGGGGAGCGAACAGG
rnacentral:rRNA from 1 species